UGGGGAAUCUUGCGCAAUGGGCGAAAGCCUGACGCAGCGACGCCGCGUGAGUGAUGAAGGCCUUCGGGUUGUAAAGCUCUGUGGGGAGAGAAGAAUUAGUGUGGGCUAAUCACCACAUGAUGACGGUAUCUCCUUAGCAAGCACCGGCUAACUCUGUGCCAGCAGCCGCGGUAAGACAGAGGGUGCAAACGUUGUUCGGAAUUACUGGGCGUAAAGCGAGUGUAGGCGGUCUCGUAAGUCGGAUGUGAAAGCCCCGGGCUCAACCCGGGAAGUGCACUCGAUACUGCGAGACUAGAGUACCGGAGAGGUUGGUGGAAUUCUCGGUGUAGAGGUGAAAUUCGUAGAUAUCGAGAGGAACACCGGUGGCGAAGGCGGCCAACUGGACGAGUACUGACGCUGAGACUCGAAAGCGUGGGGAGCAAACAGG
rnacentral:rRNA from 1 species